AACGAACGCUGGCGGCAUGCCUAACACAUGCAAGUCGAACGAGACCUUCGGGUCUAGUGGCGCACGGGUGCGUAACGCGUGGGAACCUGCCCUUAGGUUCGGAAUAACUCCCCGAAAGGGGUGCUAAUACCGGAUAAUGUCUUCGGACCAAAGAUUUAUCGCCUUUGGAUGGGCCCGCGUUGGAUUAGCUAGUUGGUAGGGUAAAAGCCUACCAAGGCGACGAUCCAUAGCUGGUCUGAGAGGAUGAUCAGCCACACUGGGACUGAGACACGGCCCAGACUCCUACGGGAGGAGGAAGGGGGGAAUAUGGGACAAGGGGCGAAAGCCGGACCCAGCUAUGCCGGGGGAGGGAUAAGGGCGUUAGGGUAGAAAAGCUUUUUUACCCGGGAGGAAAAUAACAGGACCGGAAAAAUAGGCCCGGGCUAACCCCGUG
rnacentral:rRNA from 1 species